GCCGGCGUAGCUCAACGGCAGAGCAACUGAUUUGUAAUCAGUAGGUUAUGGGUUCGAAUCCCAUCGCCGGCUCCA
rnacentral:tRNA from 1 species